CAUUGAAACGCCGGUUCUCGUACGAUCACCGAAGUUAAGCAAUGUCGAACCUGGUUAGUAGCUAGAUUAGUGACAGCUUGGGAAUACAAGAUGUUGUAA